rnacentral:rRNA from 1 species
GUAGGUGGCAAGCGUUGUCCGGAAUUAUUGGGCGUAAAGCGCGCGCAGGCGGGUUCUUUAAGUCUGAUGUGAAAGCCCACGGGCUCAACCGUGGAGGGUCAUUGGAAACUGGAGAACUUGAGUACAGAAGAGGAAAGCGGAAUUCCACGUGUAGCGGUGAAAUGCGUAGAGAUGUGGAGGAACACCAGUGGCGAAGGCGGCUUUCUGGUCUGUAACUGACGCUGAGGCGCGAAAGCGUGGGGAGCAAACAGGAUUAGAUACCCUGGUAGUCCACGCCGUAAACGAUGAGUGCUAAGUGUUAGGGGGUUUCCGCCCCUUAGUGCCGCAGCUAACGCAUUAAGCACUCCGCCUGGGGAGUACGGCCGCAAAGGCUG